rnacentral:lncRNA from 1 species
AAAUAAAAUGAAGGUUACGGAUAAAGAAUGAUAAAGAGUGUAUAAUUGGGAAAUCUGU